GGUCGAGUGGUGUAGUGGUUAUCACUCCUGUCUUACACUGCUUCGUGUGGGUCACAGGCGGUCGUCGGUUCGAUCCCGGCCUCGAUCA